UACGGGGGGUGCGAGCGUUGUCCGGAAUCACUGGGCGUAAAGGGCGCGUAGGUGGUUUGAUAAGGGUGUGGUGAAAGUCCGGAGCUCAACUCCGGAUCUGCCGUGCCGACUGUCAAACUCGAGGGCUGUAGAGGCAGACGGAAUUCCGGGUGUAGCGGUGGAAUGCGUAGAGAUCCGGAGGAAGACCGGUGGCGAAGGGCGGUCUGCUGGGCAGUUUCUGACACUGAGGCGCGACAGCGUGGGGAGCAAACAGG
rnacentral:rRNA from 1 species